UACGUAGGGUGCAAGCGUUGUCCGGAAUUAUUGGGCGUAAAGAGCUCGUAGGCGGCUUGUCGCGUCGAAUGUGAAAUCUCAGGGCUCAACUCUGACAUUGCAUUCGAUACGGGCAGGCUCGAGUUCGGUAGGGGAGACUGGAAUUCCUGGUGUAGCGGUGAAAUGCGCAGAUAUCAGGAGGAACACCGGUGGCGAAGGCGGGCCUCUGGGCCGAUACUGACGCUGAGGAGCGAAAGCGUGGGGAGCGAACAGG
rnacentral:rRNA from 1 species